GGGGGCGCCUGGUGGCGCAGUUGAUUGAGUGACCAACUCUCGGUUUCAGCUCAGGUCAUGAUCUCGGGGUCCUGGGAUAAAGCCCCACAUCAGACUCCGCACUCAGCAU